rnacentral:rRNA from 1 species
UACGUAGGGGGCAAGCGUUAUCCGGAUUCACUGGGUGUAAAGGGAGCGCAGGCGGUACGGCGAGUCAGAUGUGAAAACUCAGGGCUCAACCCUGAGCCUGCAUUUGAAACUGUGUUUCUUGAGUGCUGGAGAGGCAAUCGGAAUUCCGUGUGUAGCGGUGAAAUGCGUAGAUAUACGGAGGAACACCAGUGGCGAAGGCGGAUUGCUGGACAGUAACUGACGCUGAGGCGCGAAAGCGUGGGGAGCAAACAGG